UACGAAGGGGGCUAGCGUUGCUCGGAAUGACUGGGCGUAAAGGGCGCGUAGGCGGCUUGCGCAGUCAGGCGUGAAAUUCCUGGGCUCAACCUGGGGACUGCGCUUGAGACGUGUGGGCUUGAGUGGGGAAGAGGGUCGUGGAAUUCCCAGUGUAGAGGUGAAAUUCGUAGAUAUUGGGAAGAACACCGGUGGCGAAGGCGGCGACCUGGUCCUUGACUGACGCUGAGGCGCGAAGCGUGGGGAGCGAACAGG
rnacentral:rRNA from 1 species